rnacentral:rRNA from 1 species
UGGGGAAUUUUGGACAAUGGGCGAAAGCCUGAUCCAGCAAUGCCGCGUGUGUGAAGAAGGCCUUCGGAUUGUAAAGCACUUUUGUCCGGAAAGAAAUCCUUGGCUCUAAUACAGUCGGGGGAUGACGGUACCGGAAGAAUAAGCACCGGCUAACUACGUGCCAGCAGCUGCGGUAAUACGUAGGGUGCAAGCGUUAAUCGGAAUUACUGGGCGUAAAGCGUGCGCAGGCGGUUUGCUAAGACCGAUGUGAAAUCCCCGGGCUCAACCUGGGAACUGCAUUGGUGACUGGCAGGCUAGAGUAUGGCAGAGGGGGGUAGAAUUCCACGUGUAGCAGUGAAAUGCGUAGAGAUGUGGAGGAAUACCGAUGGCGAAGGCAGCCCCCUGGGCCAAUACUGACGCUCAUGCACGAAAAGCGUGGGGGAGCAAAACAGGAUUAGAUACCCCUGGUAGUCCACGCCCUAAACGAUGUCAACUAGUUGUUGGGGAUUCAUUUCCUUAGUAACGUAGCUAACGCGUGAAGUUGACCGCCUGGGGAGUACGGUCGCAAGAUUAAAACUCAAAU